GGGGGGGGGGGGGGGGGGGGGGGGGGGGGGGGGGGGGGGGGGGGGCGGGGGGGGGGGGGGGGGUGCGGGGGGGGGAGGGGCGGCCGGGUGCGGGAGACGGCGGAGUCUACGUUUACGUGGGGGAUAAGGUGGGGAAACGUCCGCUACUCCCGCCUACGACCUGCGCGUGAAAGCAGAGUAUCUUCGGACCUUGCGCGAUUGACUGGUCCGAUGGCGGAUAAGCUAGUGGGCGGGGUAAAGGCGCACCCAGGCGACGAUCCGUAGUUGGCCUGAGAGGAUGAGCAGCCACACGGGAACUGAGACACGGGCCAGACUCCUACGGGAGGAAGCAGUGGGGAAUAUUGGACAAUGGGGGCAAGCCUGAUCCAGCCAUACCGCGUGGGUGAAGAAGGCCUUCGGGUUGUAAAGCCCUUUUGUUGGGAAAGAAAUCCAGCCGGCUAAUACCUGGUUGGGAUGACGGUACCCAAAGAAUAAGCACCGGCUAACUUCGUG
rnacentral:rRNA from 1 species